AUACAGAGGGUGCAAGCGUUAAUCGGAAUUACUGGGCGUAAAGCGCGCGUAGGCGGUUUGUUAAGUUGGAUGUAAAAGCCCCGGGCUUAACCUGGGAGGGUCAUUCAAAACUGGCAGACUAGAGUGUGGUAGAGGGUAGUGGAAUUCCUAGUGUAGCGGUGAAAUGCGUAGAGAUUAGGAGGAACACCAGUGGCGAAGGCGACUGCCUGGACCAACACUGACGCUGAGGUGCGAAAGCGUGGGUAGCGAACAGGAUUAGAAACCCUGGUAGUCC
rnacentral:rRNA from 1 species